AUAACCGUCUUUAAUUAGGUAUCGAAUAUAGUAUAAUAUUUUUAUAUGAAAAAUUAAUAAAAAAUUACAAAAUGUGGUGCAUAUAAACGAGUACUGCAUUUCCUUUCCCAAUUUCCUUUUGUUAUCCUUACCACUUUACCGCAGGCAGAGAGCCUUCCUUUUCCGAUUCUCUAUUUCCUUUCCUCAUUCCCAAUCUCCGAUCCAUCCCUAAAAACAACUGACGAGAGAUCGAUGAUGAUGAAGAUGCUUUGUUGGAGGAAGAGCAGGAGCUUCCAUCUUCAGCUACAAGGGGCAAUUGGUACCAUUCAAUCUCCAUUCCUAUUCUUAUUUCCCAAUUAUUGCCAUUCUUCUACUUCCACAGUUGAAGAUGCACGCUUCUUGACAAAUAACUUCAAAUCUGCUUCUUUUACCCGCCUUGAUCAUGCCAUUGCUACCUUCAAUCAUGUAAUUCAUAGUUAGUUCAACACCAAAUAACGCUUUAUUAUCGAGGAGAAGGAGAUCUGCAAUGUACAACUCUUCUUAUUUAGCUAAUAGAAUUUGGGUUUUCACCUUUGAAAAGUGAAGUAAUAUAGCAAAAUCAAAAGUGCAGAGCAAGAGAGCAAAAAAAAAAAAAAAACAGACAAUCUCACAUUAGAAAGAGAAUUUAUUUAUAGAGGAUCUGGUCAAGAAUAAAUAUUAGAUCCAAAAACUAAGGAAAAAUCAGUAGAUGAAAUGAACAAUAGGCUUUACAGGAGAGGAGUGAUUGUAUGAAUUAACUGAAUAGUUCUCCAUGUUAGUGGGUUUUGAAUGAAAGGUGGAGUUGGAAGAGAGGAGGGUUAUGAGAGGUGAGUAGUAGGAGUUGUGAGUCCAUUAGCGUGAAAGAAAAGAGAAAAAGAGAAGAAUGAGAUAUUGUAUAAGAUUUUUUUGUUAGUAGCGGAAGACACGUCAGCAAAUUAACUAGUAAAAAUAAUGGUUUAAUAGAAUAUGUAAUUAGAAACCAAUAUUUAUUGUUUUCGAUUUAUGAUUUUUUUUAUUUCAAAAAUAUUUUUCAAUAAGUAGUAAAAAGUAAAAAAUGCAACCCUAUCAAGUGAACAAUAAAAAAACAAGAAACAUCAACGAUAAUAAAUGCAUUCUUAUCUUUUUUUCUCGUCGACAACAUAUGAAUAAUGAAUUCAGAAGUAAUAAGUGCAUCGAGUAAAUUUGAGAGAUUUUAUAUUUUACUUCUCUGACCUUUAAUUUUUAUUUCAAAAAAAAAAUAUAUGACUAAUGACUAAUAAUGUAAAUGAUUAUUAUUACGUUAAAUUUUAACACUGUUGUAAAUUAUUUUUAUUAAAAUUGAAAAUAUUGAUCAUUAGGUGAAAAUAUAUAUUUUUUCUAAAUUUUAUUAGAAAGAGAAGGAUUGAGGUAUCACCUAAAAUUACUCUAAAUUAACGAGUAAUAUAAUUUAUAAAUCAUGUCAACUUGUAUUUUUAUAAAAUAUAAUAUGUACUUAAUUAUUAUUUAUAUUUAAUUAUUUUUAUUAUUAUAUUUUAAAUUUGUUAUGUAGAAAAGUAAUAAUUUUUUAUUUAAAUUUUAAUGAUAAUUUUUAUUGUCGUUAUUAAAAUCAUAUUAAUUUUCAUUAAUAAAAGAUAAAUUUAUUUUUAUUAUUAUAGUUUUAAGGACUAAUUAGAGUGUCGUCAUAAUUAAUAUUAAUAAUUAAUGUCUUUAAAAUUUUUUAAUAAGAAAACCUCUAAUGACAAUUUAAUGAUCAAAUAAAAUGGUUGUUAAUGAUUUUUAAUGAUUAAUUUUUAAUAUUUAAUGAUAAAUUUUUUUUCUUGAUGAUGAAUAUUUUUCUUAUAGUGUUAUCCAUAUUUUUUACUAUUUGAGACACUUUCAAAAUUUAUUCAAUAAAAAAUAUUUUAUGUUCAAAUAAAAAAUUAAAUCAUUUUAAAGAAAAUAAUUUUCUUUUUUUAAAAAAAAAAGUUAUUGUUCGCAUUUUGAAUAUCUUAUUAAGAUUUCUAUAUAAAUUAGCUAAUAAAAUUUAUUUUUAAUUGAAAUUAAAUAAAAGAAAAUAAAUUAUUUAAUUAAAAAAUAUUUUCUAAAUAUUAUUCAAAUAGAAAUAAUAUUUUGAAAAUAAAACGAAAUCUAAAUUAUAAGUAAAAUAUAUAAAAUUACUUAACUCACUCAAGAAAAUUUUAUUUAUAUUAUACAGUAUAUCAUACAACUAGAAGUAAAAUUUGCUAAAUAUUGAUAAACUAUUGUAUGCAAUGCCAUAUCAGUUCAUAUUUUUUAAUGGCAUACUUUUGUAGCACUCUGAAACUUUAAAAAGGUGUCAUAACAUAUCUAAAUUAUUUAUAAAUGAAGUUAAAAUAGCACCAAACUUUCACAGUAUUUUUAAAUCAAUUUUAAUUUAGUAUAAAAAUUUUUUUUAGUGUAAAAAAUAUAUGAUGAGCUUCAAUUUUAAAAUUUAUGCAUUGUAUAUACUUUUUUUUUAUAUAAUUAAGUGAUUGUUAGAGGUGAAAUUAGAUAAUAAUUUGAUCUUUGUGGAUAUAUAUCAAUACUUUUAUACUCCAUACUAUUUUAUAUUAAGACUAUAAAGUCAUUUUAAUUACGUUUUGAAUACUUUAAGUGUGUCAUAGGAUGUUCAAACUACUACAAUUUUUUUUCUUUUAAUAAAGUUUAAAGGUGUAAUUAUAUAUUUGGUUUUUCUUAAUUUUAUAAAUGUCACUCAGUCAGAAUUUAGUAAAUUUCCGGAUAAAUAUUUAUGUGUAGCUUCAUCUGAGUGGAAUAAUUUUUUUUUUUUUUUUUAAAAAUUAUUUGCCAUAUAAAAUUAUAAAAGCCUAUAAAUAUGUUCCUAACCUAUAUGAUGAAGAAUUUUUUUUCAAUUUAAUUUAUAUAGAAAAAAUCAUGUAUACCAUCAAUUAGAAAUUUCACCGAAUUUUAAUGAGAGUUACUGUUUGAAAUUCAAAUAGCUAAUUAAGUGAUAUUUAUGAAGCAAAAUUAAUUUAAAUUUAAUUCAUAUAGGAUAAAUUAUGUAGACGAUCAAUCAGAAAUUUCACCAAAUUCUAAUGAAAGUUACUGUUUAAAAUUCAAAUAGCUAAUUAAGUGAUAUUUAUGAAGUAAAAUUAAAUUUAGUAACUGCAAGUAAAAAUUGUCCAUGUGAAUGUAAUAUUACGUAUUUUGUAUUGUAUUGUAAGAAUUAACUGUGUGCUUCAGUUGUGAGCUUCCAACCCACGUGAUGGACUAUGCCAAAUUGAAAUUGUAUAUAAUAGUUAGCACAAAAUUAUUAAAUAGGUGGAAAGUGAAUUCAAAAAUUAUUUAGACUGUUUUAAUUGGUAUUAGAACCACCCUGAAUCAAGUAAAUUAUACAGAGUUAGUGGACCUGCAAGGAAAGAGCUACUCGUGAGAGGAGGCGGAACCGUCUGAGACACUAGCGAACUAUAAUACCUAAAGGUUCGAUCCUGAUUAGUAAUUAUAUCUGAUUCAGUUACGACGAUGACGUCACAAAUUUAACUAAAGAGAGUGUAAGAAUCAGCUGUGAACUUCCGUUCACAUCUGUAAACUUCCGUCCACAUCGACGAAUUAUGACAAAUCAGAAUGGUAUAUAAUAGAAAACUAUUAAAUAACUUGAAUUAAUCAUUUUAGAUCAGGUGAGUGAGUUCAAAAAUUAUUUAAAUCAGCUUAGACCGGACUGUUUAUGUAUAAUGCUUAAAAUAUCAUUUUUCAAUAUAACUAAGUUAUUCAUUAACUGCUUUAUUAAACACAUACAUUAAAUAGAAUCAUUGCAAAAUAAAAAAUAAAAAAUAAACUUUUUCUACUGAAAAAAAUUAUACAUUUAAUUUAUAAAAGGGAAAAAACUAAUGAUUAUUUUUUUAAAAAAUAAAAUAAUUUAUGAAACUAGGAAAAUGAAACAAAUAACUCUAAUGUAGUAAGAGGUAGUCUAGAAUUUUGAGUCAAAUUUUAGUUUUUUCUAAAAAAAUAUAUAAUAACAGAUAUUUAUAUAACUUUAUUCAAAUUUUUUUAUUAACCUUAUAUCAAAUAUCAUUAAUUAUUAUAAUUUUUUUUUACUCUGUUAAUAAUUACUCUCUGAAAAUAUGUUAGAGAAACACUAUUUUUUUUAAGAUUUAUUCCAAACGUACUUUAUAUACAUUUAACGAUACUUGCUAAAAUUUAAUUUACACAGAAUUUAAAAUUAUUUAAUUUAAAAAAAUAAAAAAAUCUUUAUUUUAUCAUGUUUCAACUUUUAUGUAAACAAUAUGAAUAAAGAUUGAUUUUACUUAGUAAAAUAUAAAUUCAAGUAAAUCCAUGUAUAGAUUUAUCUUAAAAUACAUGUAAAAUGUAGUGUAAUUAAUAUCAAUAACCGUUUUUAGUAAUGGUGUACUGAUAUUCUCCGCGAAUAUAAUGUCAGGUAUGAAUUUAUAAAAUAAAUAAAUAUGAAAUGGUUGAUUGUACACAAUCUCUUUAAUAUUUAAGUCGGUAAGUAGUUUAUCAAAAAUUUCAAAAUAAAAAUAGUUUGAUUAAAAGAUGAUUUAACAUAUAUGACACUUGGAAAGACUAGAAUUUUUUUUUGAAAUCUAUCUUGAUCCUAGAUUGUAGAAUUUUAAUGAGGACAUUUUAUUUGUAUAUGAUUUGGAGUCCUAAUUAUCGUAUAACUUUGUGAUUUGAAUAAUAUGGUCUAUUCGGGUUGAAGCCUUCGGUAGUCGUCACCCUUAAGUUUCAAUCCUAAGGUUGAAACCUCCUGUUAAUAUUAGCCUAGAGGCUUAAAUCUUGAGGUCUCAAGACCCAUUUAGCACCUUGAAUCUCGGUAUUCAAGAGUUUUCGACCUUUCAACUAUGAAGCCGAACACUUUUCAAUAUUAAAAUUUUAUUUCUCAUAAAAUAUAUUUAUCAGAAUUAAGUAGUUUAUGACAUAUUUAUUUUAUUAUCUCUCUUAUGAUAUUUUUUUUAAAUUAAUAUAAAUUAUUAAUUAUAUAAUAUUGUNNNNNNNNNNNNNNNNNNNNNNNNNNNNNNNNNNNNNNNNNNNNNNNNNNNNNNNNNNNNNNNNNNNNNNNNNNNNNNNNNNNNNNNNNNNNNNNNNNNNNNNNNNNNNNNNNNNNNNNNNNNNAUUUAAAGGUAAAUAAUUAAGAAAUUAUUAUUAUUAUUUAAAUUGCCAAAAUUAUAUUUAAUAAUUAUAAGUUUAUUGUAUUUUAUUAUUAUUUAAAAAUAUUUAAUUAAUUAUAUUAGUUUUCAAUUUAAAUUAAAAUUUAAAUUUAUUAUAAUUAUUAAAAUACUAAUUUUAUAAUGAUGAAUAUUUGAGUUUGUCGCUAAAACUUUUUCACAAUAAAUAAUUCAUGUUAAUAAUUUUUAACAAUGAAGAAAAUAUUAAAUCCAUAUAAAAACUAUUUUUUUAAUAUUAUAAUAAAUAGAUAUAAAAAUAAAAGUAUUAAUACUCUAUACUAUUUUAUAAAAAUAAAGAAUAGAUUUUAAAGUAUUUAAAUUUUUGAUAAUUUUGUAUGUUUAUGAUUAGUUUCACACAUUAAUUUAAUUUUUUAAUUUAAAUUUUAUUAUGUGAUCAUAUAAAUAAAAUAUUUAUAAUUUUAAUGGAUUUUACUAUUUUAAUUUAAUUUUUUAACUUUUAUGACAUUUUGUACAUAAAUAUAUUCAUAUUUUAAAAAUAAUUUCUUAUAAUUUAUAAUACAAUAUACUGUAUAUUAAAUCUAAAGAAAAAAAUUUAUAUAUUAUAAAUUUACGUUAAUAUUAAUAACAAAUAAAAUUGAAAAUGCGAAAUAUAUGUGGUGAGUUUGAGCAUUUCAAAAUUUAUUAUUUUGAAAUAAUUUUAUAUAUUAAUUUUUUAUUAUAUUAAUUAAAAUUGUAAUAUUAUUCAAAUAAAUGUCAAAAUAAAAAUGCUUUAAACAAUUCUUAUAAGAGUAAAGCUUGGUAAAAAAUAAUUUUAUUAUACUAAAAUAAAAUAAUUAAUAAUAAAAAAUUAUAUAAGCUAAAAUUAAUUAUGUUUUUCAUGAAAUUUUAUUAAUAUUAAAAAUAAAGUUAAUUAUUUAUAUAACCGCCUUUAAUUAGGUAUCGAAUAUAGAAUAAUAUUUUUAUAUGAAAAAUUAAUAAAAAAUUACAAAAUGUGGUGCAUAUAAACAACUAGUAAUGCAUUAUCCUUGUCAAUUUACCCGUAGGCAGAGAGCCUUCCUUUUCCGAUUCUCUAUUUCCUUUCCUCAUUCCCAAUCUCCGAUCCAUCCCUAAAAACAACUGACGAGAGAUCGAUGAUGAUGAAGAUGCCUUGGAGGAGGAAGAGCAGGAGCUUCCAUCUUCAGUUACAAGGGGCAAUUGGUACCAUUCAAUCUCCAUUCCUAUUCUUAUUUACCAAUUAUUGCCAUUCUUCUACUUCCACACUUGAAGAUGCACGCUUCUUGACAAAUAACUNNNNNNNNNNNNNNNNNNNNNNNNNNNNNNNNNNNNNNNNNNNNNNNNNNNNNNNNNNNNNNNNNNNNNNNNNNNNNNNNNNNNNNNNNNNNNNNNNNNNNNNNNNNNNNNNNNNNNNNNNNNNNNNNNNNNNNNNNNNNNNNNNNNNNNNNNNNNNNNNNNNNNNNNNNNNNNNNNNNNNNNNNNNNNNNNNNNNNNNNNNNNNNNNNNNNNNNNNNNNNNNNNNNNNNNNNNNNNNNNNNNNNNNNNNNNNNNNNNNNNNNNNNNNNNNNNNNNNNNNNNNNNNNNNNNNNNNNNNNNNNNNNNNNNNNNNNNNNNNNNNNNNNNNNNNNNNNNNNNNNNNNNNNNNNNNNNNNNNNNNNNNNNNNNNNNNNNNNNNNNNNNNNNNNNNNNNNNNNNNNNNNNNNNNNNNNNNNNNNNNNNNNNNNNNNNNNNNNNNNNNNNNNNNNNNNNNNNNNNNNNNNNNNNNNNNNNNNNNNNNNNNNNNNNNNNNNNNNNNNNNNNNNNNNNNNNNNNNNNNNNNNNNNNNNNNNNNNNNNNNNNNNNNNNNNNNNNNNNNNNNNNNNNNNNNNNNNNNNNNNNNNNNNNNNNNNNNNNNNNNNNNNNNNNNNNNNNNNNNNNNNNNNNNNNNNNNNNNNNNNNNNNNNNNNNNNNNNNNNNNNNNNNNNNNNNNNNNNNNNNNNNNNNNNNNNNNNNNNNNNNNNNNNNNNNNNNNNNNNNNNNNNNNNNNNNNNNNNNNNNNNNNNNNNNNNNNNNNNNNNNNNNNNNNNNNNNNNNNNNNNNNNNNNNNNNNNNNNNNNNNNNNNNNNNNNNNNNNNNNNNNNNNNNNNNNNNNNNNNNNNNNNNNNNNNNNNNNNNNNNNNNNNNNNNNNNNNNNNNNNNNNNNNNNNNNNNNNUGCAGAGGCUCAAAAUACAUUCAAUGUAAUGAUUCAAAGAGGUGUAGAGCCUAAUGUGGUCACCUACAAUUCCUUAAUUGAUGGUCUUUGCAUUUCAGACCAAUUCAAGGAAGCUUUGGCCUUGUUGAAAGAAAUGGUGGGGAGGAACAUAUCCCCUGAUGUUUUUACCUUCAAUAUAUUGAUUGGCACUCUUUGUAAGAAAGGACUAGUUUCAAAUGCACAGAAUAUAAUCAAGAUAAUGAUUCAAAGAGGUGUGGAACCUGAUGUUGUCACUUAUAAUUCAUUGAUGGAUGGAUAUUGUCUGUGCAAGCAAAUUGAUAAGGCUAGAAAGAUAUUUGAUCUGAUGGUGACCAAUGAAAUAGCUGACUUUUUUAGCUACAACAUUUUGAUGAAUGGAUAUUGUAAGUGCAAAAUGAUAGAUGAUGCAAAGGAGAUUUUUGAUGAAAUGUCUCAUAAAGGUUUAGUUCCUGAUGCUGUUACUUAUCAUACUCUUAUAAAGGCUAUGUUUCAAGCAGGGAGGCCCCAAACUGCAAAAGAGCUCUUUAAGGAUAUGUGCUCUCAUGGUCAACAGCCAAAUAUAGUAACCUUCUCAAUUAUGAUUGAUGGCUUGUGUAGUCAGGGGAAUCUCGAUGAGGCACUCACCCUAUUGAAAGCAAUGGAGAAAAGUCAGUUGAAGGCUAAUUUUGUGAUCUAUAGCAGUCUGAUCAAUGGUAUGUGCAAAGUUGGGAAGAUUAAUGAUGCCAAGGAACUUUUUUCUAGUCUUUUUGAAAUUGGUUCACAACCUGAUGUUUAUGUAUAUAAUGCAAUUAUGAAAGGACUCUGCUGAGAAGGAUUAAUAGAUGAAGCAUAUAAGAUUUUUAGAGACAUGGAAAAGGGAGGAUGUUUACCGAAUAAUUGUUGUUAUAAUAUCAUCAUUCAAGGGUUUCUCAAGCAUGAGGAUUUACCAAAAGCAUCAGAACUAAUCAAUGAAAUGGUUGAUAAGGGGUUCUCUGCUGAUGCUGCUACCACAGAAUUGGUAGUACAUUUAUCGCGGAAUAAUGAACUCAUUCUAAGCAAACUACGUAAUUGUUAUGAGGCACUAAAUGCAUAAAUGUUAAGUGAUUUUAACAAUCAACACUUGAUCAGCAGAUGCAAGAGGUCUUCGUUGUAAUGUGAGUUAUUGGUACUUCAAUCUAUUUCCUAUAGUGUUGUUAGUUGCUUUUGCUUUUUACGAGAAACUGUUUAGGAUUAGCACUAAACUCAAGUUUUCAGGUUGUAUAAGCAGAUUAGCUUUGCUGAAUCUGUUCCAAUACUGCAUUGGUCUGCAAUAAGUUGAAAAAAAAACAAAAAAAGAAUCUUAAGACUCCAGUUUUAUGUAUACAAUGAGAGAAAUUGUGCCUGCUCUCUUCUUACGUAUUCCUUUUUUUUCCUCUCAUUUUGAAUUCAUCAUUCUGGUAUAACAAUCUGCACUUGUACAUAGUUUUUCUAAGUGUCAGAUGAUUUAUUGCCAUGUAUGGAAAAUAUCAAAAGGUGAAGAGCAGCAAUUACUUUUCUUAUUUUUGAGUCUUACUCAACCUGAAAGCUUUUGUUUUGCCUUAUUAUUAUACUAUAUGAAGUGAAUUGAGCAGAGAACAUAUUUGCUUCUAAUUCUACUCCCAUGCAAAUGGAUCUAAAAUGCGUCAUUUUGCUACCAUUAUUCAAAGAGGAAGCUAAGACCCAAGUGUUGUAUGUCCUCUUAGCAUAAGUGGAUAGUAUUUUCCAAGAGAAAAAGCAAAAUUAGGAAAGGCCCUUCAAAGGUUAAACUGAAAUUUGACAACAGAAAUGAGGACUUAGAACAAGAAAGUGAAGAAGGGGAAGCUAAGGCAUGUUUCCAUAGUUAGUUCAACACCAAAUAACGCUUUAUUAUUGAGGAGAAUGAGAUCUGCAAUGUACAACUCUUCUUAUUUAGCUAAUAGAGUUUGGGUUUUCACCUUUGAAAAGUGAAGUAAUAUAGCAAAAUCAAAAGUGCAGAGCAAGAGAACAGAAAAAAAGGACAAUCUCACAUCAGAAAGAGAAUUUAUUUAUAGAGGAUCUGGUCAAGAAUGAAUAUUAGAUCCAAAAACUAAGGAAAAAUCAGUAGAUGAAAUGAACAAUAGGCUUUACAGGAGAGGAGUGAUUGUAUGAAUUAACUGAAGUGAACAGUUCUCCAUGUUUGUGGGUUUUGAAUGAAAGGUGGAGUUGGAAGAGAGGAGGGUUAUGAGAGGUGAGUAGUAGGAGUUGCGAGUCCAUUAGCGUGAAAGAAAAGAGAAAAAGAGAAGAAUGAGAUAUUGUAUAAGAUUUUUUUGUUAGUAGUGGAAGACACGUCAGCAAAUUAACUAGUAAAAAUAAUGGUUUAAUAGAAUAUGUAAUUAGAAACCAAUAUUUAUAGUUUUCGAUUUAUGAUUUUUUUGAUUUCAAAAAUAUUUUUCAAUAAGUAGUAAAAAGUAAAAAAUGCAACCCUAUUAAGUAAACAAUAAAAAAACAAGAAACAACAAUGAUAAUAAAUGCAUUUUUUUUUAAUUAAUGAUAUAUGAAUAAUGCACUCGAUAAGUCGAGUCGAGUAAAUUUGAAAGGUUUUAGAUUUUAUUUUUUUAAUUUUUAAUAUUAUUUUAAAAAAAAAAGACAUGAUUAAUGAUGUAAAUGAUAAAUGUUUAUUGUUAUGUUAAAUUUUAGUACCGUUGUGAAUUAUUUUUAUUAAAAUAGAGAAUAUUGAUAUUUUUUCUAAAUUUUAUUGGAGAGGUAUCACCGAAAGUUACUCUAAAUUAACAAGUAAUAUAAUUUAUAAAUUAUGUAAACUCACAAUGAGUCUAAAUUAACAAGUAAUAUAAUUUAUAAAUUAUGUAAACUCACAAUGAGUACAAAUUGAACUUUUUAUUUUUGCCGAAAAAAAUAUGUACUUAAUUAUUAUCAAUAUUUACUUAUUUUUAUUAUUAAAUUUUAAAUUUAUUAUAUAGAAAAGUAAUAAUUCUUUAUUUAAAUUUUAAUGACAAUUUUUAUUGUCGUUAUUAAUUUUUUUUACGAUUAUAUUAAUUAUCAUUAACAAAAGACAAAUUUAUUAUUAUUAUUAUAGUUUUAAUGAUUGAUUAGAGUGUCAUCAUAAUUAAUAUUAAUAAUUAAUAUACAAUAUCCUUAUUAAAAAUUUUUAACGAGAAAAUCUCUAAUAACAAUUUACAUUAAUGACCAAAUGAAAUGAUUGUUAAUAAUUUUAAUGAUCAAUUUUUAAUAUUUAAUGAUAAUUUUUUUCUAUGAAUAUUUUUCUUGUAGUGUUAUUCAUAUUUUUGGCUAUUUGAAACACUUUGAAAAUUUAAUCAAUAAAAAAUAUUUUCAUAUUCAUAUAAAAAAUUAAGUCAUUCUAAAGAAAAUAAAAUUUUAUUUUCAAAAGAAAAAGUUAUUCUCGCAUUUGAGCAUCUUAUUAACACCUUCAUAUAAAUUAGUUAAUAAAAUUUAUUUUUGAAUUGAAAUUAAAUAAAAGAAAAUAAAUUAUUUUGUUAAAAAAUAUUUUCUAAAUAUUAUUCAAAUAGAAAUAAUAUUUUAAAAAUAAAACAAAAUCUAAAUUAUAAGUAAAAUAUAUGAAAGUACUUAACUCACUCAAGAAAAUUUUAUUUGCUAAAUAUUAAUAAACUAUUGUAUGCAAUGCCAUAUCAGUUCAUAUUUUUUAAUGGCAUACAUUUGUAGCACUCUAAACUUUAAAAAGGUGUCAUGACAUAUCUAAAUUAUUUAUAAGUGAAGUUAAAAUAGUAUCACAAUCUUAAUAUAGCACGAACCUUUUACAAUAUUUCUAAAUCAAUUUUAAUUUAGUAUGAAGAUUUUUUUUUUAGUGUAAAACAUAUACGGUGAACUUCAAUUUCAAAAUUUAUGCAUUGUGUAUAAUUAUUUUUUUUAUAACUAAGUGAUUGUUAAAAGUGAAAUUAGAUAAUAAUUUAAUGUUUGUGGAUAUAUGUCCAUACUUUUAUACUCCAUACUAUUUUAUAUUAAGAUUAUAAGAUCAUUUUAUUUGCAUUUUGAAUAGUUUAAGUAUAUCGUAGGAUGCUCUAAAAAGUUUAAACUACUAUAAAAAUUUUUUAAUAAAGUUUAGAGGCGUAACUAUAUAUCUAGUUUUUCUUAAUUUAAUAAGUUAUCUAUUGAGAAAUAAAGUUAACGUCAAAAUAAGUUAGGGAGUUGGUUAUGAGAGAAUAGGAAAUGCAUUUUAGUGUACACAAGUAAUUUUUAUUUGCAAUUACUGAAUUUUAGUGUUUGUUUCACUAUAUUCACUAAAUUUAAUUUUAUUAUACUAAAAUAAAAUAAUUAAUAAUAAAAAAUUAUAUAAGCUAAAAUUAAUUAUAAUUUUCAUGAAUUUUAUUAAUAUUAAAAAUAAAAUUAAUUUUUUAUAUAACCGUCUUUUAUAGAAUAUAGUAUAAUAUUUUUAUAUCAAAAAUUAAUAAAAAAUUACAAAAUGUGGUGCAUAUAAACAGUAAUGCAUUUCCUUUCCCAAUUUCCUUUUGUUAUCCUUACCACUUUACCCGCAGGCAGAGAGCCUUCCUUUUCCAAUUCUCUAUUUCCUGUCCUCAUUCCCAAUCUCCGAUCCAUCCCUAAAAACAACUGACGAGAGAUCGAUGAUGAUGAAGAUGCCUUGGAGGAGGAAGAGCAGGAGCUUCCAUCUUCAGCUACAAGGGGCAAUUGGUACCAUUCAAUCUCCAUUCCUAUUCUUAUUUACCAAUUAUUGCCAUUCUUCUACUUCCACACUUGAAGAUGCACGCUUCUUGACAAAUAUCUUCAAAUCUGCUUCUUUUACCCGCCUUCAUGAUGCCAUUGCUUCCUUUAAUCAUGUAAUUCAUAUGCAUCCUCUUCCUUCUAGGGCUCAAUUUUGUAGAUUCUUAUCUGCCCUUGUGAAAAUGAAACAAUAUCACACUGUCUUUUCCAUGUCCAAAACAAUUGAAUUGCUAGGAAUCUCUCACGAUGUUUAUUCUCUUAACAUCUUAAUUAAUUGCUUCUGCCGUUUACAUCUUGUGGAUUUUGGCUUCUCUGUUUUUGGUAAGAUGCUCAAAUUCGGAUUGGAGCCUGACGUUGUGACAUUUACUACCUUAAUUAAUGGGCUUUGUAUAGAGAGUAAAAUCGACAAAGCAGUGGAAUUUUUCGAUGAUAUGGUUGCACGUGGUUAUCAACCUAAUGUUCGUACUUUCAAUGUGAUAGUAAACGGAUUGUGUAAAUUUGGGAAAACAAAUGUGGCUAUUGGGCUACUAAAGGGAAUGACUGAUAGAGGUUGUGAGCCAAAUGUUGUGACAUACAGUGCAAUCAUUGACGCCCUUUGCAAAGAUGAGCUAGUUGGUGAGGCUUUAGAGCUCUUCUCUCAAAUGAGGAAUAAGGGCAUUUCACCUGAUGUCAUCACUUACACUAGUUUAAUUCAUGGUGUUUGCAAAUUAGGCCAAAAGAACCAAGCUUUAGCCUUGAUGAAUGAAAUGGUGGAGCAGAACAUAUCACCUGAUGUUUACACCUUCAGUGUAUUGAUUGAUGCUCUUUGUAAGGAUGGAAUGGUUUCAGAGGCUCAAAAUACAUUCAAUGUAAUGAUUCAAAGAGGUGUAGAGCCUGAUGUGGUCACUUACAAUUCCUUAAUCGAUGGUCUUUGCAUUUCAGACCAAUUCAAGGAAGCUUUGUCCUUGUUGAAAGAAAUGGUGGGGAGGAACAUAUCCCCUGAUGUUUUUACCUUCAAUAUAUUGAUCGACACUCUUUGUAAGAAAGGACUGGUUUCAAAUUCAGAGAGUAUAAUCAAAAUAAUGAUUCAAAGAGGUGUGGAACCUGAUGUUGUCACUUAUAAUUCAUUGAUGGAUGGAUAUUGUCUAGGCAGCCAAAUUGAUAAGGCUAGAAAGCUAUUUGAUCUGAUGGUGACCAAUGAAAUAGCUGGCAUUUUUAGCUACAACAUUUUGAUCAAUGGAUAUUGUAAGUGCAAAAUGAUAGAUGAUGCAAAGCAGAUUUUUUAUGAAAUAUCUCAUAAAGGUUUAGUUCCUGAUGCUUUUACCUAUCAUACUCUUAUAAAGGGUAUGUUUCAAGCAGGGAGGCCCCAAACUGCAAAAGUGCUCUUUAAGGAUAUGUGCUCUCAUGGUCAACAGCCAAAUAUAGUAACCUUCUCAAUUAUGAUUGAUGGCUUGUGUAGACAGGGGAAUCUCGAUGAGGCACUCACCCUAUUGAAAGCAAUGGAGAAAAGUGAGUUGAAGCCUAAUUUUGUGAUCUAUAGCAGUCUGAUCAAUGGUAUGUGCAAAGUUGGGAAGAUUAAUGAUGCCAAGGAACUUUUUUAUAGUCUUUUUGAAAUUGGUUUACAACCUGAUGUUUAUGUAUAUAAUGCAAUUAUGAAAGGACUCUGCCAACAAGGAUUAACGGAUGAAGCUUAUAAGGUAUUUAAAGACAUGGAAAAGGUAGGAUGUUUACCAAAUAAUUGUUGUUAUAAUAUCAUCAUUCAAGGGUUUCUCAGGCAUGAGGAUUUACCAAAAGCAUCAGAAUUAAUCAAUGAAAUGGUUGAUAAGGGGUUCUCUUCUAAUGAUGCUACCACAGAAUUGGUAGUACAUUUAUCGCGGAAUAAUGAUCUCAUUCUGAGGCUUUUAAAGGUGCGCAAUGAGGGAUCAACAAACUAAAGUUGUUAUAUCUUGACCAUUCAAGUGUGUCUUGGAGCACAACUUGGUAAUUACCUUUUUCAAAUAUAAUAGAUAUGUAAUUUAACUAAUUUCUUCAAAUAUCAUUUUUAAUUUCAAUCAGCUGUGAUUCUCUUCUACAAAAUGAAAUUUUCUAACACCGCAAAUGACCUGUCAUGGUUUACCACGAGCAGACUCGCGAAUAAACUCGUAAAUAGUUUCGUUAAGCAGGCUGAAAUUAAUAAUAUAAGAGAAAUAAAUUCAAAUCUUACAUAUACUUUUAUGAGUCAAAUUUAAAUUUUAUAAAGUUCAAUUUAAUAUUGUGUAAUUAGACUAUUAAAACUUGCAUAUAUUUGGAUCGUUAAGAGUUCAUCUUUAUAAGUUUAAGAGCUAAUUUGUAUAUGUGAAGGUCAGCUGUUUGCUUGAUGUGGGACGUCCCUCUCAUCGGCAGAGUACGAAAAAUCAAAAUUGUAUAUAAUAGUUAAUUACGAAACUACUAAAUAACUUGGAUUAACUAUUUUGGGCCAAGUGGAAAGUAGGUCAAAAGUUAUUUGGGUUAGUUUGGGCCGGAUUGUUAUGCUUACUUAAUGUAGGAAGACGUCCCACAUCGACGGAAAAUGAAACUACAAGUAAAAAGUGGGCACUUUCCAAAAAUUAUUUAGGUGGGUCGAGCCGUUUCAGUAUAUAUACUUAUUUAGUUUUAAACUAAAACUCAUUACACAUAUAAAUAAAUUAAAUUAUUGGUGAAUUAUUUGAGACUAAACUCAAUAAAAACUUGACUAGUCUAAGUUUAUUUGCUAAAAGAGUCAAAUUUGAACUUAUUAAUACUCCACUUAAAAAAAUUUUAACGGACUAAAUUUGAACUCUUCAAAACGAUUAGUUUACACUCUAAGUAAAUUUUAAAAAGUGUUUAAAUUACUAAUAAGCUCUAAAUCCAAAUUACCAAAAAAUUACUAACGGAUUUGAAAAUCCGUUACUAAACUUUAUCAUCAAAUUAAUAAGUAAAAAAAAAAUAUUAAAUUUAUCAACAGAUGCUACCUGCUAGUAAAUCCGUUGAUAAAUUUAAAAUAAAAUCCUACAUAAAAUUCUUUCUUUUUUUUUUUACAACUCACAUUUUUCAGUUACCAACGGAUUUGCUAAUAAAUUUUAGUAACGAAUUACAAAUUUAUUAAUAAUUCGCGUUUAUAAAUAUAACACCAGCUCCUCUGCUUUUAUUAUUCGUUCAUCUUAUCAUCCGCCUUUCUUCCAUUUUUUCCCUUUCUCUCAUUUUCAUUCUUUUUCUUUCUUUCUUUCAUUUCACUUUUUUAUCUCAUAAUUUUUUUUUCUAUUAUUUUUCUUUCAUCUCUUAUCCUAUUUUCUCUAAUUCUCUUUCGUCUUCUAUUACUCUUUUUCAUUUUUCAUUUUCUCCAUUUUCUUUUCCAUCUUUUUAUUUCCUUUCCUCUUAUCUUCUUCAUUUUUUCUAUAAUUUUCAUUCAUAUUAAUUUUUUAAUAUUAUUUUCUCCUAUCAUUUUCUUUCUAUCUAUAUUUUUCUAUUAUUUUAUCUUUAUUUAUUUUCUUCUCUAAUCAUUUGUUCAUUUUUUUUCAUUUUUCUAAUUAUCUUUUUACUCAACUCUCAUUCUUUCUUCUUUUUCAUAAUUUUUAUUUUUCUAUCAUUUUCUUUAUUUUUCUCUUUUUUCUUUCUUUUUUAUUAUUUUCUCUCAUUUUGUACUAUUUGUUUUUUUUUUUAUUUGCACUUUCUAUGUAUUUCUAAUAAAUAUUGAAUAUAAAUUAAAAACUUAAUAACAAUAAUAAUAUAAUUUUAAGUCUUAUUAAAUUAAUAAAAAAUUAUUUAAAUUCUUAAUAAAUUUACUAAUGGAAUGCAAUUCGUUAAUAAUUUACUAACGGAUUUCACAUAUGUUAAUAAAUUAUUUUUCUUUUAUACUAACAGAUUUAAAAUUUGUUAGUAAUUUGGAAUCUGUCGGUAAUAAUAAUGAAAACUCCGUUAAUAAAUCCGCUAGUAUUACUAACGAAUUUGAAAGUCGGUAAAAAUUUACCGUCAAACUUUUUAACAACGGAUCGUAAUCUAUUAGUAAUCAAUUGUUAAUUUAUUUACCAUUGGAUUUUUAUUGAAUUGCCAAUGAAAAAAUCACUGCAUUAUCAAUACAAAUUAAGAAGUUGUUGAUUCAUAUAUUUACAAUAAAAUGUCUUUUAAACUCUUAAGACUUUUGAAGCUAAAAUUGAAAAAACAUUCAUGAUGUUGUAUUUCUCCUUUGGUUGAAAUUGUUAUUCAUGCAAGAUGAUUUUUUCUGUUGUAACACUUUGGAAUGAUGUCUAUUAUUGGAAUGCAUAUGAUUGUUUGACUAAUAUAAAACAGAUAUAAGAAGUAUAUAGUUAAAAAGAUAAUUAUAAUUUUUAGCAAUAAACAUUUAAUAAAAAUAUUAAAUUUUUGAUAAUUUUAUAUUUUUAUGAUUAGAUUCACACAAUAAUUUAAUUUUCUAAUUUAACAUUUAUUAUGUAAUCUUAUAAAUAAAAUGUUUAUAAUUUUAAUUUUUAUGAAAUUUUGUACAUAAAUAUAUUCAUACUUUAAAAAUAUUAUUCUUAUAAUUUAUAAUACAAUAUAAUGUCUAUUAAAUGCAUAGAAAUAAUUUACAUAUUAUAAAUUUACGUUAAUAUUAUUAAUAAUAAAAUAAAAUUUAAAAUGCAAAAUAUAUUUAGUGAGUUUAACAUUUCAAAAUUUUAUUAUUUUGAAAUAAUUUUAUAUAUUAAUUUUUUACUGAUAUUAAUUAAAAUUAUAAUAUUAUUCAAAUAAAAUGUCAAAAUAAAAAUGUGCCAAACAGUUCUCAUGAGAGUNNNNNNNNNNNNNNNNNNNNNNNNNNNNNNNNNNNNNNNNNNNNNNNNNNNNNNNNNNNNNNNNNNNNNNNNNNNNNNNNNNNNNNNNNNNNNNNNNNNNNNNNNNNNNNNNNNNNNNNNNNNNNNNNNNNNNNNNNNNNNNNNNNNNNNNNNNNNNNNNNNNNNNNNNNNNNNNNNNNNNNNNNNNNNNNNNNNNNNNNNNNNNNNNNNNNNNNNNNNNNNNNNNNNNNNNNNNNNNNNNNNNNNNNNNNNNNNNNNNNNNNNNNNNNNNNNNNNNNUUCAAUUAAAUAUAAGGUACGGUUAUAAUAAAAUAUUAUUUUUAUGAAAAUAAAUUUAAUUAAAUCUCUAUAUUUUUAUUAAGAGUCACAUAAAUUCAAUUUAAAAUUUUUAAAAUUUUAAGCUAAUUAAACUAUGUAAUUUUAUUAAAGGCUAAAUAGAUUCUAACUUAAUAUUAUUUUUUAAUAAUAAAAUAUUAUUUUUAUAAUUUAAAACAUUAAAAUUUUAGUAUUUUAAUUAAAAUUAAAAAUUUUAAAAUAUAUAUAAAUAUAAUAAAUAAUUUCUAAAAUUAUAUAAAUAAAGUUUUAUCAUAUAAAAAUUUUUAUUAUUAAAAAAUAAUAUUAUGUUAAAUUAUGAUUUAUUUAAUUUUUGAGUAAUAAUAUAGAGAUUUAAUUUAUCCAAAAUUUUAAAUUAAAAUUAUUUAACUCUUCAAUAACGUGAGACUUAAUUGCAUUUAUAUUUACAAAAUUAUUUAUUAUAAAAUGAUAAAUUUAAUUUGUUAUUAAAUAAUAUUUUUAUAUGAAAAAUUAAUAAAAAAAUUACAAAAUGUGGCGCAUAUAAACAAUUCCUAAUUUCCUUUUGUUAUCCAUGCCACUUUACCAGCUGGCAGAGAGCCUUCCUUUUCCAAUUCUCUAUUUCCUUUCCUCAUUCCAAAUCUCCGAUCCAUCCCUAAAAACAACUGACGAGAGAUCGAUGAUGAUGAAGAUGCCUUGGAGGAGGAAGAGUAGGAGCUUACAUGUUCAACUACAAGGGGCAAUUGGUACCACUCAAUCUCCAUUCCUAUUCUUGUUUACCAAUUAUUGCCAUUCUUCUACUUCCACACUUGAAGAUGCACGCUUCUUGACAAAUAACUUCAAAUCUGCUUCUUUUACCCACCUUGAUGAUGCCAUUGCUUCCUUCAAUCAUGUAAUUCAUAAGCAUCCUCUGCCUUCUAGGGUUCCAUUUAAUAGAUUCUUAUCUGCCCUUGUGAAAAUGAAACAAUAUCACACUGUCCUUUCCAUGUCCAAAACAAUUGAAUUGCUAGGAAUCUCACACAAUCUUUAUUCUCUUAGUAUCUUAAUUAAUUGCUUCUGCCAUUUACACCUUGUGGAUUUUGGCUUCUCUGUUUUUGGUAAGAUGCUCAAAUUCGGAUUGGAGCCUGACGUUGUGACAUUUGCUACCUUAAUUAAUGGGCUUUGUAUAGAGAGUAAAAUCGACAAAGCAGUGGAAUUUUUCGAUGAUAUGGUUGCACGUGGUUAUCAACCUAAUGUUCGUACUUUCAAUGUGAUAGUAAACGGAUUGUGUAAAUUUGGGAAAACAAAUGUGGAAUGGUUUCAGAGGCUCAAAAUACAUUCAAUGUAAUGAUUCAAAGAGGUGUAGAGCCUGGUGUGAUCACAUACACAUCCUUAAUUGAUGGUCUUUGCAUUUCAGACCAAUUCAAGGAAGCUUUGGCCUUGUUGAAAGAAAUGGUAGGGAGGAACAUAUCCCCUGAUGUUUUUACCUUCAAUAUAUUGAUCGACACUCUUUGUAAGAAAGGACUGGUUUCAAAUGCACAAGAUAUAAUCAAAAUAAUGAUUCAAAGAGGUGUGGAACCUACCUUUGUCACUUAUAAUUCAUUGAUGGAUGGAUAUUGUCUAGGCAACCAAAUUGAUAAGGCUAGAAAGCUAUUUGAUCUGAUGGUGACCAAUGAAAUAGCUAACAUUUUUAGUUACAACAUUUUGAUCAAUGGAUAUUGUAAGUGCUAAAUGAUAGAUGAUGCAAAGGAAUUUUUUGAUGAAAUGUCUCAUAAAGGUUUAGUUCCUAGUGGUGUUACUUAUUCUACUCUUAUAAAGGGUAUGUUUCAAGCAGAGAGGCCCCAAACUGCACUAGAGCUCUUUAAGAAUAUGUCCUCUCAUGGUCAGCAGCCAGAUAUAGUAACAUUCUCAAUUAUGAUUGAUGGCUUGUGUAGACAGGGGAAUCUGGAUGAAGCACUCACCCUAUUGAAAGAAAUGGAGGAAAGUCAGUUGAAGCCUGAUCUUGUGACUUAUUGCAUUCUGAUCAAUGGUAUGUGCAAAGCUGGCAAGAUUAAUGAUGCCAAGGAACUAUUUUCUAGUCUUUUUGAAAAUGGUUCACAACCUAAUGUUCAUAUAUAUAGUGCAAUUAUGAAAGGACUCUGCCAAAAAGGAUUAAUAGAUGAAGCAUAUAAGAUUUUUAGAGACAUGGAAAGGGGAGGAUGUUUACCGAAUAAUUGUUGUUAUAAUAUCAUCAUUCAAGGGUUUCUUAGGCAUGAAAAUUUACCAAAAGCAUCAGAACUUAUCAACGAAAUGGUUGAUAAGGGAUUCUCUGCUGAUGCUACCACCACCGAAUUGGUUGUACAUUUAUCGCGCAAUGAUGAUCUCAUUCUAAGAAAACUACGAGAUAGUUUCGAGGCUACUAAAUGCAUAAAUGUUAAGUGAUUUUAACAAUCAACACUUGAUCAGCAGAUGCAAGAGGUCUUCAUUGUAAUGUGAGUUAUUGGUACUUCAAUCUAUUUCCUAUAGUGUUGUUAGUUGCUUUUGCUUUUUACAAGAAACUGUUUAGGGUUAGCACUAAACUCAAGUUUUCAGGUUGUAUAAGCAGAUUAGCUUUGCUGAAUCUGUUCCAAUACUGCAUUGGUCUGCAAUAAGUUGAAAAAAAAAAGAAUCUUAAGACUCCAGUUUUAUGUAUACAAUGAGAGAAAUUGCGCCUGCCCUCUUCUUACGUAUUCCUUUUUUUCCUCUCAUUUUGAAAUUCAUCAUUCUGGUAUAACAAUCUGCACUUAUACCCAGUUUUUCUAAGUGUCAGAUGAUUUAUUGUCAUGUAUGGAAAAUAUCAAAAGGUGAAGAGCAGCAAUUACUUUUCUUAUUUUUGAGUCUUACUCAACCUGAAAGCUUUUGUUUUGCCUUAUUAUUAUACUAUAUGAAGUGAAUUGAGCAGAGUUUUAUUGUAAUUCAAAAUGUGUGUUUCAUAAUUUUUGUUGUCUUCGUGAUUUGCUUGCAAUGAGCAGGAAACAAUAUACGUGUCUUUACUUUAAAGAACUUGGGGUAAGGGAGAAGAAAAAUCAAGAAUCUAACUAAUGUAAAGAACUUGGGGUAAGGGAGAAGAAAAAUCUAGAAUCUAACUAAUGUAAAGAACUUGGGGUAAGGGAGAAGAAAAAUUAAGAAUCUAACUAAUGUUUAUGUGUGUCCAAGUUAUCAUUACCCUUGAAAUUUAUAUCUAGGAGAAUGAAAAUAUAAACUCUUAAUUGAGAGAGGGUCAAUUUGAUAGUUUUUCUUCUCCAAAUUCUUGGUCCUUCAAGAUAUUUCACAUUCAUCUUCCAUGAGAAUUAUAGGAUCACAACAACAGGCUCUUAAUCUUCUAUUCCUAACAAAUUAGCCACUAACCUCCAAACCAACUCUGCCAUCUUAAGAAACUAUAACUUUACAACUGACUUCAAAUCCUAUUAUUCUCAAAACUAUGGACUUAAACUCAACUCUAAUUACCAUUAAUAAAUCAAAAUGGAAAAAAAUGUAAAUUAAUCUAGGUAAAAAAACCUUGCUUAAUUUUGGAAGUCCAAAUCUCAUCAGGAAACCUUACUCAUUACCCAUACAUAUAAAUUGAAUCACAGCUGGUCUUAUCUGCUACGCAAUUUCCUUCCGAUCUCUUCUUUCUUUAACUCAUAAAUUCUUGAUAAUAUUUUCAUCUAAAGUUUCCUUAAACCCUAGAAAAAUCCAUCAACAAUGCCAUCACCGAUAAGUUCUGGCAGGAAAAUGGGUUCUCUCUUCAGGAUUUUAGGUUAAGGUUAUACAUGCAAGUUAUCUUUUUAUAUAUAUAGUACAAUUAUGAAAGGUCUAUGCCAAAAAGAAUUAUUAGACGAAGUAUAUAAGAUUUUUAGAGACUUGAAAAAUUAUGGAUGUUUACUGGAUAAUUGUUGUUAUAAUAUCAUUAUUCAAAGAUUUCUCGGAGCUUUUUGUUUAAUAAGAGUUUUUAAAUUUUUAUUUUGUUAGUAAAAUAUUUAUUCUCUUAAAUUUACUGUUAUUCACAAAAAGUAACUAUGAACUCUUUCAAUAUAUAUGAAUAUAUUUUAUAGCAGUUUUAUAUUAAAUAUUUUUUCUGUUAUAUAAACUCUAAAUUUUUAAAUUCUAAACUCUCUAAUUUCUAAUUUAUAUUAAAAUAUUUAUAGUAGUUUUGUAUUAAAUAUUUUUUCCACUAUGCAGACCCGAACCCUUAAUUUCUAAAUUUACUAAUUUUCAAUUUAUGUCAAGAUAUUUUAUUGUAACCUUAUAUUAAAUAUUUUUUUUGACUUUAUUUAAAUAACAAAUUACUUUUAUAAAAUUUAUACAAUUUUUUUACAUUACUUUUCUAAGUGUUAGAUAAUUUAUUGUCAUGUAUGAAAAAUAUCAGCAGUUUCUUUUUUUUUAUUUCUGAGUCAUACUCAACCUGAAAGUUUUUGUUUUUGCUUUUUAGUAAUACUAUGCUAACUGAGUGUGCCACAAAAUAGAAGAGGUUGUUUACCAAAAGGUGGUUGUUAUAACAUAACCAUUCAAGGGUGCUUGGAGUGCAAGGAUUUACCAGGGGCCAGUAAGAUAGCUUCUGGAUAGAAGUGUUGUUGGUCAUCUGUGUGCUAUUACCCGGUUUUGACCAAAUUACUUAUCAUAGGCUUCAGAGAAACUGUGGAACGUCGAAUGAAGUUCUUUGAUCUCAUUUAAUUCUGAUGUGUACUUGAAAAUAUUAUGGUAAUUUCCUUUCAUUAUCUGUCUUGGUUAGUUUUCAAGAUUGUCUAGGCUGGAGUAUACAACAACAAUUAUAUCCUAGUACCUAACUAGUUGAGAUAAGUUAUAUGGAUAAUUUUGUUUUUGUAAAUUUAUAUUAUCUAGGCUCCAGUAUAAUCUCUUAAGAAUCGAAAGCAUACCCCUUCUUGAUAUUUUUAUCUUCUAAUCAGUAUGAUUAGUGUUAUAGGUUAUAGGAAGUAAAUAUGUUAAUAUAGGAAGUAAAUAUUGAUAGAUGAGUUAGUUGCUUAAUCUUAGGGAUUGUAUAAUCAUAGACUUGAUUUUCCUUCCUGUUUAGAUACCGUCUCUCAUGUAUAAAUAGGUUGUAAUCUCUAUUGUGAUAUACAACAACAAAUAUUAUCCUUCUACAUGGUAUCAGAGCUAUUCUCGUAGAGAUUUAAUUUUUUUCCUCUCUCGUCAAGUAUUAAAAUUUUUUUUUGACACUUAGGGCUCUGUUCAUUUGGGUUACCCAUAAAGGGUAACAUUUGGAUCUCACCGUCGUUGGAGUCGCCACACCGUCCCCUUGUCAGAUCUGAGAUUUGUUUGCCGUUCGGGUGUUGGGUGGAGGUGUUUUUUGGUACUGUUCAUAUUCGGGUAUUGUUCAUCGGCACUGUUCACGGGUCCUGUUCAUCGGCACUGUUCACGGGUCCUGUUCAUCGGUACUGUUCACGGGCACUGUUCAUUGAUACUGUUCACGGGUACUGUUCACGGGAGGAAUCCUUUAUUAUUAUUGCCGCGAACCUAGACAUACUAAGAAAUGUCAAAAACUACAGAAUAAGAAUCAGCGCACACAAAUGACGCAUAUGGCAGUUGAGGCCCCUUCAGAUAAGGGGAUUUUGAUAUCUGCAGAUAAGUAUGCAUAAUUCACCCAAUACCAGGCAUCUCUGAAAUCCUCUAAUUCCUCCUCUAUCACUGCAAUUGCCGGGUCAGGUAACUUUACUGCAUGUCUUGUGUCUUCAUCCUCCAAAUGAGUUAUUGAUUCUGGUGCUACCGAUCAUAUGUCAGGUAAUUCUACCAUUUUGUCCAAUCUUGAGUCUCAUGCAUCGCCUUCUUAUGUUACUCUUGCUGAUGGUACUAAAUCUUUUGUCAUGGGUUCUGGUAAUGUCAACUUAACCCCUUCUCUUUUUGUAUCCUUUGUGUUAUGUCUCCCUAAGUUCGCAUUUAAUUUGCUUUCUGUUAGUAAACUCACUCGUGCAUUGAAUUGUUGUGUCUCAUUCUUUCCUGAUCACUGUAUUUUUCAAGAUCUUUCGAUGAAGCAGAUUAUUGGUAGAGGGCGUGAGUCAGAGGGUCUCUACGUCUUGGAUCAGCAACUACCUAAAUCUCAUGCAUGUUCCACGCGGUUAACACCUUUUGAUGUUCAUUGUCAUUUGGGGCAUCCUUCUCUCUCAGCUUUGAAGAAGUUAUAUCCACAGUUUCAUUCUUUGUCUGUUUUAGAUUCUAUUUCAGUUCCCAAAACUGUUAUUGAGGCUUUGUCCCAUCCUGGUUGGCGUGCUGCAAUGGAAGAGGAAAUGAUGGCCCUUGACACUAAUGGUACUUGGGAGCUGAUGUCCUUGCCCUCAGAAAAGCGGGCUAUUGGGUGCAAAUGAGUGUUUGUAGUGAAAGUAAAUCCUGAUGGAUCUGUUGCUCGGCUCAAGGCCCGUUUAGUGGCAAAAGGUUAUGCACAAACUUAUGGAGUUGACUAUUCUGAUACAUUUUCCCCAGUUGCUAAGCUCGCAUCUGUUCGAUUGUUUAUUUCCUUGGCAGCUACACAUGAUUGGCCUUUGCAUCAACUGGAUAUUAAAAAUGCUUUUCUUCAUGGUGAUCUUUAGGAGGAGGUUUGUAUUGAGCAACCACCUGGUUUUGUUGUUCAGGGGGGGUCAGGCAAGGUUUGUAGACUUCGAAAAUCCUUUUAUGGCUUGAAAUAGAGUCCUCGGGCAUGGUUUGGCAGGUUUAGUGAGGUGGUCCAACAGUUUGGAAUGAAGAUGAGUAAAUGUGAUCACUCAGUGUUUUAUAAAAAUUCUGAUAGUGGAGUAAUUCUACUUGUAGUAUAUGUGGAUGAUAUCGUUAUUACAGGAAGUGACAUUGCUGGCAUCACAUCCCUAAAAGAAUUUCUUAAAACACAGUUUCAUACAAAGGAUUUGGGUUCAUUGAAAUAUUUAUUGGGAAUCGAAGUUAUGCGGUGUAAGAAAGGCAUCUUCUUGUCUCAAAGGAAAUAUGUUCUUGAUUUAUUAGCAGAAACAGGAAAAUUGGAUGCUAAGCCUUGUAGUGCUCCAAUGACUCCUAAUCUUCAACUUACCAUAGAAGACAGUGAGCCAUUUGCAGAUCCUGAAAGGUAUAGAAGAUAAGUUGGCAAGCUGAAUAAUUUGACUGUGACUCGUCCUGAUAUUGCAUAUUCAGUGAGUGUAGUAAGUCAGUUUAUGUCCUCUUCUACUGUUGCCCAGUGAGAUGCUGUGGGACAAAUUCUUUGUUAUCUUAAAGGGGCCCCAGAGCGAGGCCUAUUCUAUGGUAACCAUGGGCACUCAAAUAUUGAAUGCUUUUCUGAUGCUGAUUGGACAGGCUCGAAGGUUGAUAGGAGGUCAACUACUGAGUAUUGUGUUUUUGUGGGAGGUAACUUGGUCUCAUGGAAAAGUAAGAAGCAAAAUGUGGUCUCUCGUUCUAGUGCUGAAUCUGAAUAUCGAGCCAUGACACAAGCCGUUUGUGAAGUCUUGUGGGUACGUCAACUAUUAAAAGAAGUUGGGUUCACAAAUUUGGUGCUUGCUAAGUUUUGGUGUGAUAAUCAAGCAGCUAUUCACAUUGCCUCCAAUCCAGUAUUUCACGAGAGGACUAAACACAUUAAGAUUGAUUGUCAUUUUGUUCGUGAAAAGGUCCAAUAAAAGAUAAUAUUCAACAGGACAUAUUCGAACUGGAGAACAAUUAGGAGAUAUCUUCGCUAAAGCUCUAAAUGGAACUCGAGUUGAUUAUAUAUGUAACAAGUUGGGCAUGAUUAACAUUUAUGCUCCAACUUGAGGGGGAGUGUUAUAGGUUAUAGAAAGUAAAUAUGUGAAUAUAGAAAGUAAAUAUUGAUAGAUGUGUUAGUUGCUUAAUCUUAGGGAUUGUAUAAUCAUAGGCUUGAUUUUCCUUCCUGUUUAGAUACCGUCUCUUAUAUAUAAAUAGGUUGUAAUCUCUAUUGUGAUAUACAUUAACAAAUAUUAUCCUUCUAUAAUUAGAAAGAGUUGGUUGUACUUCAAAUAUGUGAUUCUUACGGUAUGGAUCACAUAAUUUUUGUUUUCUUCAUGAUUUGCUUUCAAACAGCAAGAAACAACUUACAUGUCUCAACUUUAAAAGAACCAGGUAGAAGACAAAUAAAAAAAUCUAACUUAAAUACAUUUCCCCUUUAUUUUAGAUUCUUUACCUUUGAAAUUGAUAUGCAUUACAAGUGAAGAUUGGGUCAAGGAAGCCAGAGCAUUCUAGCAUUUUUCAAAAUGGAAGGAGCAUUUAGGCCAGUUUGAUGUUGGUCAUUGUUAUGAUUCAUUGUAUUUAUAGUUUGAGAAAUUAUAUUAAUUAUUAGGGAUGCAAAUGUCAGAGCAGUGGCUCUAAUGAGACUAAAAUGGGAAUAGAAUAGGGAAUAAAGAGGAGAAGAAGAGAAGAGUGUUUGGACAGAGAAAGAGAGUUUUUAGAGGAAGCAAGCUAUAUUUGCAUUAAUGUAUUAGAAUGCCUUUACAUGUGCAUUAUACUAAGAUAUAUACUAUUUUGUAGUAACUAACUUGAUAGUUGUACACUCACUAGCUAUAACUGCUACUAGCUAUAACAGCUUAUACUAGUCACAAUAUUUCCUGCUAUACAUUUUAGUCUGUCUUAUUUCUAUAUUUCUUCUUAAAAUACGUGACAAUACUCCCUGGUUGAGAACUUUCUUGACCUCAAGAAAAGGAAACAUGAGGAAACUGAGCCUCAAUAAAAUCCUUAUCUUCCCAAGUUGCAUCUUCAGGUGGUAGAUUCACCCAUUUGAUUAAUCCCUGUGCCACAUGGUCAUUUCCCCUUAGAAUAGUUCUAGUCUGUAACACUUUUUGGAGCCACUAUGAAGUUAUCAUGCUGGAGUUGUGGUAAGGCUGUGGAAAUGCUAACAGAGUCUCCCACUUUCUUCUAUCAAGGACACAUGAAAAACAGGAUUGAUGGAAGAUUCAAGGGGUAACUCCAGCUUAUAUGCUAUUUUCCCCACUCUGGAAACAAUCUUAUAAGGCCCAUAAUAUUUAGUACACAAUUAGAGACUGUCCAAGUGCUAAUGAGGUUUGUCUGUAUGGUUAAAGCUUUAAAUAGACCUAAUCACCCACAUCAAAUCCUCUUUCGGUCCUUCUGAAAUCUGUUUGCUGCUUCAUUAUGUUCUAAGCCAAUUCCAAAUUUUCUUUUAAAGUUGUCGCUUCUUAUGUCUACUUUGUAAAAUAUUAUCCACUACUUUGAUAGUCAUUCCAGCUAACAGUUCCAUAGGAAAGCUGAGAGGGGUAGCCAUAAUGUGCUUGGAAAGGUGACAUCUUAAGAGCACUAUGAGGAGUGGAAUUGUACCACCAUUCAGCCAUACGAAGCCACUAACUCCAAGUGUUGGUUUCAGAUGAACCAUGCAUUUCAGGUAAUUCUUUAGGCACUGGUUAACCCUCCUCGUUUGCCCAUCAGACUGAGGAUGAUAUGUGGAAUUGAAAGCUAGCUUAACGCCCAAACUUUUAAGCAAUUCCUACCAAAACAAGCUAGUGAAUACUUUAUCUCUGUGAGAGACUAUAAUCUUGGGAAUGCCAUGCAACUUAUAGAUAUGAUCCAUGAAUAAAUGAGCCAAUGUAGUAGAAGAAAAGGGAUGAGUAAGGGCAUAAAGUGUGCUAGCUUUGUAAGCCUACAAACCACCACUAAGAUGGUAUUCGUCCCUUUCGAUUUAAGGAGUCCCUCAAUAAAAUCCAUAGAUAUUUCUUGUCAAGCCUGAGUAGGAAUUGGCAAGGGCUUCAAUAGGCUUGGAUAAACACGGUGUUCAUUCUUGCAUCUUGCAUAUAUGUCACAUUGUGUUUAACACACUCCACGACUCCCUUUAGCAUGCUAGAUCAAUAGAAAUACUUCUUGAACUUUAGAUAAGUGAGAUGAACCCCAGAGCGUCCACCCACUAUUGAGUUAUGAUAAGAUUCCAGUAGCUGCUGCCUCAAGGUUUUGUUGUCCCCAACAUACAUUCUUGUUUUAUAAAACAGAACUCCAUUCUUUAAUUGGUAAUUGGUGGUAGCAGCAUAAGCAAUUGAGAGUUGUUGUAUCAAAUCAGUGGCCUUGGUGUCUCCUUUAUAACUAUUCUCCAAGUGCUGCAUCCAAGAUGGAAUAACCACUAAUGGUAAACUAUACAUUUGUUGCUUAUCAACAACAGUAGGCCUCCUAGAAAGUGCAUCUGCCACUGUGUUCUCUAUCCAUUCUGUAUAAUAUCUUGUAAUCAAGUCCCAACAGUUUUGAGAUGCCCCUCUGUUGUUGAUUGGUAUGCAAUCUUUGCUUUGGGAGAUGUUUAAUGCUUUCAUGGUCUGUGUUGAUGAAAAACUGUCCUUGUUCUAAAUAAUGCCUCCAUUUGCUUAUUGCAAAUGUAGUAGCCAGCAACUCCCUUUCAUAAAUUAAUAAAGCCUAAUUCCUGGGUUUAAAAGCCUUGGAGAUGUACAGGGCAUCCUUGCUAUUGUUAAACAACCCCGUUCCCCUAAUUGCUUGCAUCAGUUCCUAUAGUGAAUUGUAGUAAGAAGUCUAGUAGAGGACUUCAAUCAUCUUCUAUUUUAGCUGUUCAAAUGAAAUUGAGCUUCCUCACUCUAUAGGUGCAUCUUUCUUCAAUAGAUUGGUUAAGGAUCUGCAAAUAAUCGGGUAAAUUUCACUCAUUGUCCUUGAACUUAUAGUGUUGUAACAUCAUCGUUCCUAAACUUCAAUUUGUAACAUAAAACCCAUUAAACUUUGACUUAGGUAACAAUAAACUCCUUGUAACUUUUUUUUGCUGGUUUACUGAUUAACAAACUUUCUCAUCUGUCACAUGUUAGAAUAAAACAUCUUCUCUCUCCUUUUUGUUAUCUCUCAAACUCAUUUUACAUCUCCUUGUAACCCAUCUGUCUAGACGGAUGAAUUGAAUGCUCAUUUCUCUACUAUUCUUUUUAUAUUAUAUUUGUGUGGACGUAUGUCAACAACUUUUAUAUUUGCUUCUAAUUCUACUCCCCUGCAAAUGGAUCUAAAAUGCGUCAUUUUGCUACCAUUAUUCAAAGAGGAAGCUAAGACCCAAGUGUUGUAUGUCCUCUUAGCAUAAGUGGAUAGUAUUUUCCAAGAGAAAAAGCAAAAUUAGGAAAGGCCCUUCAAAGGUUAAACUGAAAUUUGACAACAGAAAUGAGGACUUAGAACAAGAAAGUGAAGAAGAAGAGGAAGCUAAGGCAUGUUUCCAUAGUUAGUUCAACACCAAAUAACGCUUUAUGAUUGACGAGAAGGAGAUCUGCAAUGUACAACUCUUCUUAUUUAGCUAAUAGAAUUUGGGUUUUCACCUUUGAAAAGUGAAGUAAUAAAGCAAAAUCAAAAGUGCAAAGCAAGAUAACAGAAAAAAGGACAAUCUCACAUCAGAAAGAGAAUUUAUUUAUAGAGAAUCUGGUCAAGAAUGAAUAUUAGAUCCAAAAACUAAGGAAAAAUCAGUAGAUGAAAUGAACAAUAGGCUUUACAGGAGAGGAGUGAUUGUAUGAGUUAACUGAAUAGUUCUCCAUGUUAGUGGGUUUUGAAUGAAAGGUGGAGUUGGAAGAGAGGAGGGUUAUGAGAGGUGAGUAGUAGGAUUUGUGAGUCCAUUAGCAUGAAAGAAAAGAGAAAAAGAGAAGAAUGAGAUAUUGUAUAAGAUUUUUUUGUUAGUAGUGGAAGAUACGUCAGCAAAUUAACUAGUAAAAAUAAUGGUUUAAUAGAAUAUGUAAUUAGAAACCAAUAUUUAUAGUUUUCGAUUUAUGGUUUUUUUUAUUUCAAAAAUAUUUUUCAAUAAGUAGUAAAAAGUAAAAAUUUGCAACCCUAUUAAGUGAACAAUAAAAAAAUAAGAAACAAUGGUAAGUACAUUUGAGAGGUGUUAAGUUCUAUUCUCCCAAUUCUUAAUUUUCAUUUAAAAAUAAAUAAAUAAAUGUAUUCUUAUUUUUUUUUCUUAUUAAUGACAUGAAUAAUGCAUGUGGUGAGUGUAUCGAGUAAAUUUGAAAGAUUUUAAAUUUUAUUUUUUUAAUCUUCAAUCUCUAUUUAAAAAAAAAAUGACAUAUGACUAAUGAUUAAUAAUGUAAAUGGUUAUUAUUAUGUUAAAUUUUAAUACCAUGUGAAUUAUUUUUAUUAAAAUUGAGAAUAUUGAUCAUUAACUGAAAAUACAUAUUUUUUUAAAAUUUCAUUGAAAAGAGAAAGGAAUAAGGUAUCACCUAAAAUUACUCUAAAUUAACAAGUAAUAUAAUUUAUAAAUCAUGUAAACUUAUAAUAAAUUAACAAGUAAUAUAAUUUAUAAAUCAUGUUAUAAGAUUAUAAAUCAUGUAAACUUAUAACGAGUACAAGUUGAACUUUUUAUUUUUAUUAUUAUAUUUUAAAUUUAUUAUAUGAAAAAGUAAUCAUUCUUUAUUUAAAUUUUAAUGACAAUUUUUAUUGUCGUUAUUAAAUUUUUUUUAUGAUUAUAUUAAUUAUCAUUAAUAAAUGAUAAAUUUAUUGUUAUUAUUAUAAUUUUAAUGAUUGAUUAGAGUGUCGUCAUAAUUAAUAUGAAUAAUUAAUAUAUAAUAUCCUCGUUAAAAAUUUUUAACGAGAAAAUCUCUAACGACAAUUUAAUGACCAAAUAAAAUGAUUGUUAAUAAUUUUCGAUAAUCAAUUUUUAAUAUUUAAUGAUGAAUUUUUUUUGUAUUAAUGAUUAUUUUUCUUGUAGUGUUAUCUAUAUUUUUGACUAAUUAAGACAUUCUGAAAAUUUAGUCAAUAAAAAAUAUUUUUAUGUUCAAAUAAAAAAUUAAUUCAUUUUAAAGAAAAUAUAUGAAAGUACUUAAUUCACUCAAGAAAAUUUUAUCUAUAUCAUGCGUAUAGAAGUAAAAUUUGCUAAAGAUUGAUGAAAUAUUGCAUGCAAUGCCAUAUUGGUUUAUAUUUUUUAAUGGUAGACAUUUGUAGUACUCUAACUUUAAAAAUGUGCCAUGACAUACUUGAAUUAUUUAUAAGUGAAGUUAAAAUAGUUUGACAAUCUUAAUAUAGCACGAAGCUUUCAUAGUAUUUCUAAAUCAAUAUUAAUUCAGUAUGAAAAUUUUUUUUAGUGCGUAAAAAAUAUAUGGUUAGCUUUGCAUAAAUAUAAUUUUAUAUAUAUAUAUAUAAUUAAGUGAUUGUUGGAGGUGAAAUUUGAUAAUAAUUUGAUGUUUGUGGAUAUAUGUCGAUAUUUUUAUACUCUAUACUAUUUUAAUAUUUUAUAUUUAGUUUUUCUUAAUUCAAUAAGUUGUUUUAAAUCUAUGUGAAUGUAAUCUUAUGACUGAAGCUUUUGAUUACAGCAUUAUUCACAAAAUCAUUACGUAAUUUGUAUUGUAUAAUGCUUAAGAUAUUAUUUUUCAAUAUAACUAAACUAUUCAUUAACUGCUUUAUUAAACAUAUACAUUAAAUAGAAUUAUUGCAAAAUAAAAAAUUAAAAAUAAAAAUUGAACUUUUUUACUGAGAAAAAAAUUAUACAUUUAAUUUAUAAAAGGGAAAAAACUAAUGAUUAUUUUUUAAAAAAAUAAAAUAAUUUAUGAAACUAGAAAAAUGAAACAAAUAAUUCUAAUGAGGUAGUCUAGAAUUUUGAGUUUUUUCUAAAAAAAAUAUAAUAACAGAUAUUUAUAUAACUUUAUUCAAAUUUUUUUAUUAACUUUAUAUCAAAUAUCGUUAAUUAUUAUCAAUUUUUUUUACUCUUUUAGUAAUUACUCUCUUAAAAUAUGUUAGAGAAACACUUCAUUUUUUUUAAGUUUUAUUCCAAACGUACUUUAUAUACAUUUAAUGAAUCUUGCUAAAAUUUAAUUUAAUACAUAGAAUUUAACAUUAUUUAAUUUAAAAAAUAAAAAAUCUUUAUUUUAUCAUGUUUCAGCUUUUAUGUAAAUAAUAUGAAUAAAUAUGGAUUUUAAAAUAUAAAUUCAAAGUAAAUCCAUGUAUAAAUUUGUCCUAAAAUAUAGUGUAAUUAAUAUCGAUAACAGUUUUUAGUAAUAGUAUCCUGAUUUUCUUUGCCGAUAUAAUAUUAGAUAUAAAUUUAUAAAACAAAUAAACACCUGGAUAAUCUGUUUUAAGUUAGUAAGUGAUUUAUCAUAAAUAUCAAAAUGAGAAUAGUUUGAUUAAAAGAUAAUUGUGUCUUUAUUAUAGGUCUAAAACUGAUUGACUCUGGUAAGAUUAGAAUUUCUUUUUAAAAUCUAUCUGAAUUUUGGUAUGAGGACAUUUUAUUUGUAUGUGAUUUGAAGUCUUAAUUGUUGUAUAACUUUUACGUGAUUUAAAUAACAUGAUCUAUUUAGGUGGAAGUCUUCGGCUCAAUAUUCAUCACCCUUGGGUUUCAAUCAACCUCCCAUUGAUAUUAGCCUCGAGAAUGAAAUCAUGAGGUCUCGCUACCCUUUUGACACUUUUUAGCACUUUAAAUACCAAGAUCUAAAGAUUUUUGAUCUUUUGAUCCUAAAAUCGAACGAUUUUAAAUGUCGAAAUUUUAUUUAUCAUUAAAAUGAAUCGCUCAGAAUCAUGACAUAUUUAUUUUAUUGUAUCUCUUAUGACAUAUUUUUAAACUAACAUAAAUUAUUAAUUAUAUAAUAUUGUACCAUGGAGAUCGAAGAGCAUUUUAGAUUUUUUUUAAUAUAUAUAUACUUGAAUUUAUUUUAUACAUGUCAAUAAAUGAUACUCUUAGAAUUUAAGAUAUAAAAAUGAUAAUUUAAAGGUAAAUAAUUAAGAAAUUAUUAUUAUUUAAAUUGCGAAAACUAAAUUUAAUAAUUAUAAGUUUAUUGUAUUUUAUUAUUAUAUAAAAAUAUUUAAUUAAUUAUAUUAGUUUUCAACUUAAAUUAAAAUUAAAUUUCAUUAUAAUUAUUAAAAUAUUAAUUUUAUAGUGAUAAAUAUUUGAGUUGUCGCUAAAAUUUUUCACAAUAAAUAAUUUAUACUAAUAAUUUUUAACAAUGAAAAAAAAAUUAAAUCGGUGUAAAAAUUAUUUUUUUAAUAUUAUAAUAAAUAGAUAUAAAAAUAAAAGUAUUAAUACUCUAUACUAUUUUAUAAAAAUAAAGAAUAGAUUUUAAAGUAUUUAAAUUUUUGAUAAUUUUGAAUGUUUAUGAUUAGUUUCACAUAUUAAUUUAAUUUUUUAAUUUAAAAUUUAUUAUGUGAUCAUAUAAAUAAAAUGUUUAUAAUUUUAAUGUUUUAAUUUAAUUUUUUAAAUUUUAUGACAUUUUGUAUAUAAAUAUAUUCAUAUUUUAAAAAUAAUUUCUUAUAAUUUAUAAUACAAUAUACUGUAUAUUAAAUCUAUAGAAAAAAAAUUUAUAUAUUAUAAAUUUACGUUAAUAUUAAUAACAAAUAAAAUUUAAAAUGCGAAAUAUAUGUAGUGAGUUUGAGCAUUUCAAAAUUUAUUAUUUUGAAAUAAUUUUAUAUAUUAAUUUUUUAUUAUAUUAAUUAAAAUUGUAAUAUUAUUCAAAUAAAUGUCAAAAUAAAAAUGUUCUAAACAAUUCUUAUAAGUGUAAAGCUUGGUAAAAAUUAAUUUUAUUAUACUAAAAUAAAAUAAUUAAUAAUAAAAAAUUAUAUAAGCUAAAAUUAAUUAUAUUUUUCAUGAAUUUUAUUAAAUAUUAAAAAUAAAAUUAAUUAUUUAUAUAACCGCCUUUAAUUAGGCAUCGAAUCUAGUAUAGUAUUUUUAUAUGAAAAAUUAAUAAAAAAAUUACAAAAUGUGGUGCAUAUAAACGAGUUCUGCAUUUCCUUUCCCAAUUUCCUUUCGUUAUCCUUACCACUUUACCUGCAGGCAGAGAACCUUCCUUUUCCGAUUCUCUAUUUCCUUUCCUCAUUCCCAAUCUCCGAUCCAUCCCUAAAAACAACUGACUAGAGAUCGAUGAUGAUGAAGAUGCCUUGGAGGAGUAAGAGCAGGAGCUUCCAUCUUCAGCUACAAGGGGCAAUUGGUACCAUUCAAUCUCCAUUCCUAUUCUUAUUUACCAAUUAUUGCCAUUCUUCUACUUCCACACUUGAAGAUGCACGCUUCUUGACAAAUAACUUCAAAUCUGCUUCUUUUACCCACCUUGAUGAUGCCAUUGCUUCCUUUAAUCAUGUAAUUCAUAUGCAUCCUCUUCCUUCUAGGGCUCAAUUUAGUAGAUUCUUAUCUGCCCUUGUGAAAAUGAAACAAUAUCACACUGUCUUUUCCAUGUCCAAAACAAUUGAAUUGCUAGG
rnacentral:lncRNA from 1 species